rnacentral:misc_RNA from 1 species
AAGUCGUAACAAGGUUUCCGUAGGUGAACCUGCGGAAGGAUCAUUAAUGAAGCGAAGAGAGAAAUCUCUGGUGGGGAGCGCUGUAGCUGGCCUUUCGGGGCAUGUGCACGCCUCUCCACAAAUCCACCCACACCUGUGCACCUCCGCGUGGGUCGGCGCAAGCCGGCUCACGUCCCUUUCACACACCUUUGUAUGUCUCAUGAACGUCUAUUGUGUUGCUAUAAACGCAUCCAAUACAA